UCAGAUUGAACGCUGGCGGCAUGCCUUACACAUGCAAGUCGAACGGCAGCACGGGGCAACCUGGUGGCGAGUGGCGAACGGGUGGAGUAAUGCAUCGGAACGUGCCAUUGAGUGGGGGUAACGUAGCGAAAGUUACGCUAAUACCGCAUAUUCUGUGAGCAGGAAAGCAGGGGAUCGCAAGACCUUGCGCUCUUUGAGCGGCCGAUGUCAGAUUAGCUAGUUGGUGAGGUAACGGCUUACCAAGGCGACGAUCUGUAGCGGGUCUGAGAGGAUGAUCCGCCACACUGGAACUGAGACACGGUCCAGACUCCUACGGGAGGCAGCAGUGGGGAAUUUUGGACAAUGGGGGCAACCCUGAUCCAGCCAUGCCGCGUGAGUGAAGAAGGCCUUCGGGUUGUAAAGCUCUUUCGGCCGGGAAGAAAUCGCAUGGGUUAAUACCCUGUGUGGAUGACGGUACCGGCAUAAGAAGCACCGGCUAACUACGUG
rnacentral:rRNA from 1 species